rnacentral:rRNA from 1 species
AGAGUUUGAUCCUGGCUCAGGACGAACGCUGGCGGCGUGCUUAACACAUGCAAGUCGAACGGAAAGGCCCGCUUGCGGGUACUCGAGUGGCGAACGGGUGAGUAACACGUGGGCAACCUGCCCUCAGCUUCGGGAUAACACUUGGAAACAGGUGCUAAUACCGGAUAAUAACUUGUCAUCGCAUGGUGGUGGGUUCAAAGUUUUUCGGCUGAGGAUGGGCCCGCGGCCUAUCAGCUUGUUGGUGGGGUAAUGGCCUACCAAGGCGACGACGGGUAGCCGGCCUGAGAGGGCGACCGGCCACACUGGGACUGAGACACGGCCCAGACUCCUACGGGAGGCAGCAGUGGGGAAUAUUGCGCAAUGGGCGGAAGCCUGACGCAGCGACGCCGCGUGAGGGAUGACGGCCUUCGGGUUGUAAACCUCUUUCAGCUCUGACGAAGCGCAAGUGACGGUAGGAGCAGAAGAAGCACCGGCCAACUACGUGCCAGCAGCCGCGGUAAUACGUAGGGUGCAAGCGUUGUCCGGAAUUAUUGGGCGUAAAGAGCUCGUAGGCGGUCUGUCGCGUCGAAUGUGAAAACCCGGGGCUCAACCCCGGGCCUGCAUUCGAUACGGGCAGACUAGAGUUCGGUAGGGGAGUCUGGAAUUCCUGGUGUAGCGGUGAAAUGCGCAGAUAUCAGGAGGAACACCGGUGGCGAAGGCGGGACUCUGGGCCGAUACUGACGCUGAGGAGCGAAAGCGUGGGGAGCAAACAGGAUUAGAUACCCUAGUAGUCC